UAGUGAAUGUUAUAUAGAAAAAUUAAUAAUAGAUUAAAUAAGAUAUUAUUUAUGUUAUAAUUUAAUUAAAGUUAUUUAAAAGUGGGAUUUAUUAAUAAAUUGUUUUAGUAGAAUUUUAUAAAGUAAUUUUAUUUAUUAUAGAGUUUUAGUAAUGUAAAUGAUUAAUGGAAAUUAAAAUUUUAAUAAGAAAAUUUAAUUUAUUGUACCUUUUGUAUCAGGGUUAAUUGAAUAAAAAAUUUGUAACAUUAAAUUAUCUCGAAGAGGAAAGAGCUAAGUAUGGAGUAUUAUUUAUUAUGAAAUUUAAUGUAAUAAUAUUAUUUUUAAUAAUUAUUUAGAGAAGAUAUUUUAGUCAAUUUUUUUGAUAUCUAGUUUUUUUUGAUUAAAUUUAAUUUAAAUAUAAAUUAAAUAUAUUAUCUAUUUAUAUAUAUAUAUAUAUAUAUAUAUAUAUAUAUAUAUAUAUUGUAUAGUUAAUAUAUAAAUUUAUAUAUAUAAUUUAUGGGAUAAACUAUAAAUUUAUAUUUAAAUAAUGAUUAUAAAUACAUAUAUAUAUAUAUAAAUAAUAUAUAAUUAUAUAAAUAUUUUUAAAAUUUUAAUUUUUUAUAAAAAAUUUAAUAAUUUAUAAAUUUUAUUUAUAAAUAAAAUAUAAAUAAAUGAUUAGUAAAUAAUUUAAUUGAUAAAUUUAUUAAUAAAAUAAAAAAAUGUUUGAAAAAAUAAAUAAUUUGAAUUAAUAAUGAUUAAAUUAGUAUUAAAAAAAAAUAUAAUAUAAAUUAUAAAUUGAUAAUUUUUUUAUAAUAACUAGGCAAGUAAUAUUGAAUGUAAGAGAGAAUAUAUAUUUAGUUUUAAGUCCAUCUGUUUAAUAAAAACAUAGUUUUAUGAAAUUUAUAUAAGAUUAGUUCUGCUCCAUGAUAAAAUUAUUAAAUAGCCGCAGUAUUUUGACUGUGCUAAGGUAGCAUAAUCAGUUGUUUCUUAAUUGGGAACUGGUAUAAAGGAAUAAAUGAGAUUUAAACUGUUUUUGAAAUAUAAUAAGAAUUUAAAUUUUUAGUAAGAAUGCUUAAAUGAAAUUAUGGGACGAGAAGACCCUAUAGAAUUUUAUAUAUUUUUGAGUAUAAUAUUGGUUGGUAUAAGAAUUAUAUAUUUAAGUAUAUUUAAUUGGGAGGAUUAUUAAAUUUAAUAAACUUUAUAAUAUAUAUAUAUAUAUAUAUAUAUAUAUAUAACAUAGAUUAAUGGUUAAGUGAAUAAGUUUUUAAUAAAAUUUAUAUUAGAAUUAAUUACCUUAGGGAUAACAGCGUUAUAUUUUUAUAAAGUUCAUAUUAAUAAAAAUGUUUGCGACCUCGAUGUUGAAUUAAAUUAAAAAUUAAAUGGAGAAGUUUAAUAUUUUAGUCUGUUCGACUAUUAAAAUUUUACAUGAUUUGAGUUUAGAUCGGUGUAAGCCAGAUCGGAUUCUAUCUAUAAUAUUUAAGAUAAAUAAUUUUGUACGAAAGGACUAGUUAUUUAAAUAUUAUUUUUAAUAUAUAUAUAUAUAUAUAAUUUUAGAUAAAUAAUAAUUUAAAAGAUUUAGAA
rnacentral:rRNA from 1 species